AAAAAACCUAAGAUUAUCAAACUCUAUUUUCAAGUUAAAAAUUUUCAUUCAAUUGUCUAAGAAUAUCAAAUUCAUGGUUUGAGGAUUCAAUACUUUUUAUAUGUUGUUUUUAGAUGUUUUGGGUGUGGCUCGGCCAUUCGGAGCGAUCCCGAGCUUAAUUUCAAAUAUCAAAUUUUUGAGUUGGCAGGAGAAUUUCGCGGGCGCGACAGAAGUGGUAUACGGGCGUGAACUGUGCUUCGCGUGCGCGAACUGACACUGUUCGCUGUUUUCUCAUAAAUAGCACCUUAUCUUGACCUAAAACAUUUUCCAUCAUUUUUGAAAACCUAAUUUCCGCUGAAACUCAUGGAAUAUCAUUUUCUAAUCAAUCCUUGACCUAUUUUGAACAUUGGCUGAUUUUGAAUUAUAUUUUUUGGGGUUUGUUGAUCUUUGUCUAAUCAAGAGAUGGCAACGUAAAUUGUGAGAAAAAUGGCAGCUACCAGCUUUAAUUUGGAGGUAUUACGUAAUUUUCUGUUUUUUCUUUAUCAAUUCAGAUAAAUUACUAUUUGGUGUGGUUCCGACGGCAGUGACCUUCAAAAAGACGCACCCACUUCACUAUUGUCAAUCAAAUUAAUUUAUUAGUAUUACAACAAAGACCAACAAAUUCAAUCAACCAGUAGUAUAUGUUAAUAGUAAAACUCCCAUAACAAAAAUUCAAUGCAAUUAAAAAAGAGAAAGAGUGAAAUGAUGACCAAUAAAUAAUUUAGUGAAAAAUUGUUGACGAACCCAUAACUAUCUAAUUAAAGGAUAUGUUAUACUUUUUUUUGUAAAUAUUAAAACUAACA